rnacentral:lncRNA from 1 species
CUUUUUGUCGGAUCCGUAAAGGGUGGGAGAUUUCAAGAUAACCUUUUUUAAGGGGAGGUGAUAUUGCCACGACUAUUUUUUAUUCACCAGAUUGGAUCUCCAUAUCGAUUCAUAAGGCUGCAACAAUCAUCGCUAACGACCCUCUGUUUGUGUUUGCAGAUGCCGUCGAUCGGCUAUUCUAGGGCUAGCUGUUACACCUCCUUGGGUUUAUUCGUCAUCUCAUCUCAGGCUAUUGUAUAUCUAUCUGCAAUUAAACUAAGUUUUUUGUGGAAUUGUAUGUAAAUUUCAUAAUUUGUAUGUAAAUAGUGAAUGUAGAGCAGUAGAUAUCGAGAUUUAUAUGGCGAAUUUUGUUGAUGUUUGAAGUUUAUUGUUUAGAAAUCAGUCCCCCUUCGUAAUUUACUGGAAUGAGGUACAGACUUGAUGUCUAAUGCUUUGAUUGUUUAAAUUUAUGAAGAUUAAGUUUGAUUUUGGUCAUAUAUUUUUUGUGGAUUUUGAGAUUGAAACUGAAGUUAGAAGUGAGACCUAAGUGAGUGAGGAAGAUGUGCCAAGUACAAUGGUUUCAGCUGAGAACGAUCGUUACGUUUAUCUCUGCCAUACAUUGGGACCUGAUACUUCAAUGCUCUUUAUUGUAUUUUUGAUUUAAUGCAAUUUGCAACAGGUUCGCAGGCACGAUGGUUCCAAGAAGAGAGAAAGCGGUGUUGCUCACAUUUUGCACGUGUAUUAGCCUCGCAAGUAUGGCUCUGGUGCUUGCUUAUGAUCACAAUUCCAAUUCCAGAUGUUGACAACAAUCUGUUGGUGCAAGUCUCUCUUCCCCUCUUAAUUGCUAUCUUCCUUUUUGUGUACAAACGAUCUAAAAUGGGGAAUUGGAACGGUAUGGCUUAUUACUAGAAAUGCAAUAGAAAAAGAGCUUAUUUAGGUGAAAAUGAUGGUUGCAUUCUGUUGGAGAUUGUGGUUCAAGGGGAUCUCCAACACAGUGAGAUGAGGAAUUAGUUCAUUUGGUGUAAUGGUUUAUCAAAAAUGAACGUUUGCCUUUGAAUAAAUUAAUUGCAUUCUAAAGAUACAUCAUGAAGGGCACAACUGUCAAUUUACUUUAAAACUCCGUGGAUGUAUAAAAAGAUGUUGUGGACUUAUCAGCUCCCUUUUUUAAGAGCACCCGUUAUGGAUCUUAAUAGCCGUGUUAUUGCCGACGUGGAGACCAAAAAAAUACGGUUAUAACGGGUGAACAUUGCAUCCCUUCUUGUUAUAUCCGGUUAAGAGCACAUCUCGUUGCCCUUACCACGGGAAGAAACAAGGCAAAAUUUGAACAUUGGACUAUGUUGACCGUUUUUGAACGGCCAUAUUCUUAAAAUAAAUAAAUAAAAAUAAAAUAUUACUAUUUUUUUUACAUAUAAAUACAUUACACUCGUACAUUUUUUAUACUUUUACAUUCUUUCUCUCUCUAUUUUAUACAUCUAACCAAAACACAAACACAUAAAAAUAGAUCAAAAUCCAAACACUCCUCCACCAAACCAAAACCCAAAUACACAACCAAACACAUCUUAUAUUAGGUUUGCCCAUUACGAGAACUACUUUAGCCUUCUAUCGUUUCAAGCUUCACCACAAAUCCCAUACCAAAGAGUCUCUUUCAAUCCCGUAUCACCAUCACUGCAAUUUCCUAACUCACCUUAUUUUCAACAAAAUCUUUUCGGCUAAAAUUCAAGUUUACAACAAAAUCUUUUUCCCAUUCAACCUCAAACACAACCAC